rnacentral:rRNA from 1 species
CCUACGGGGGGCAGCAGUGGGGAAUAUUGGACAAUGGGGGAAACCCUGAUCCAGCGACGCCGCGUGUGUGAAGAAGGCCUGCGGGUUGUAAAGCACUUUUAGUGGGGACAUUUAACCCAAAGAAAAAGCACCGGCUAACUCUGUGCCAGCAGCCGCGGUAAUACAGAGGGUGCGAGCGUUAAUCGGAAUUACUGGGCGUAAAGCGCGCGUAGACGGUUUUGUAAGUCAGAUGUGAAAUCCCUGGGCUCAACCUGGGAACUGCAUUUGAAACUGCAUGGCUAGAGUAUGGUAGAGGGAAGUGGAAUUUCCGGUGUAGCGGUGAAAUGCGUAGAUAUCGGAAGGAACACCAGUGGCGAAAGCGACUUCCUGGACCAAACUGACGUUCAUGUGCGAAAGCGUGGGGAGCAAACAGGAUUAGAUACCCUUGUAGUC